rnacentral:rRNA from 1 species
CCUACGGGAGGCAGCAGUAGGGAAUAUUGGACAAUGGGCGCAAGCCUGAUCCAGCCAUGCCGCGUGAGUGAAGAAGGCCCUCGGGUUGUAAAGCUCUUUUGUUGGGGAAGAAAAGCAUCUGGUUAAUACCCGGGUGUUCUGACGGUACCCAAAGAAUAAGCACCGGCUAACUUCGUGCCAGCAGCCGCGGUAAUACGAAGGGUGCAAGCGUUACUCGGAAUUACUGGGCGUAAAGCGUGCGUAGGUGGUUUGUUAAGUCUGAUGUGAAAGCCCUGGGCUCAACCUGGGAAUGGCAUUGGAUACUGGCAGGCUAGAGUGCGGUAGAGGGUAGUGGAAUUCCCGGUGUAGCAGUGAAAUGCGUAGAGAUCGGGAGGAACAUCCGUGGCGAAGGCGACUACCUGGGCCAGCACUGACACUGAGGCACGAAAGCGUGGGGAGCAAACAGGAUUAGAUACCCUGGUAGUCCACGCCCUAAACGAUGCGAACUGGAUGUUGGGCUCAACUUGGAGCUCAGUAUCGAAGCUAACGCGUUAAGUUCGCCGCCUGGGGAGUACGGUCGCAAGACUGAAACUCAAAGGAAUUGACGG